UGCGGAGGGGGCUAGCGUUGUUCGGAAUUACUGGGCAUAAAGCGCACGUAGGCGGACUGUUAAGUCAGAGGUGAAAGCCCAGGGCUCAACCCUGGAAUAGCCUUUGAUACUGGCAGUCUCGAGUCCGGGAGAGGUGGGUGGAAUUCCGAGUGUAGAGGUGAAAUUCGUAGAUAUUCGGAGGAACACCAGUGGCGAAGGCGGCUCACUGGCCCGGUACUGACGCUGAGGUGCGAAAGCGUGGGGAGCAAACAGG
rnacentral:misc_RNA from 1 species